rnacentral:lncRNA from 1 species
CAAUAUUGCAAAAUUAAAGACACUGUUACACAGUAUACAGAGAUGAUAGGUUUUAUCUCAAAACAUCUAAAAUCGAACGAAUUCUACUUCCAUUUAAUCAUUCAAACUUUAAGGAAAUUUAAGAAUUCAAAAUAUAUCUACUUUUUACACCACCCUUAAUGUUUAUGGUCUAGAACUCUGUUUACAAUUUUGUUUCUAUAUUUAUUUUUGUUAUUUUUAUUUUUCUACAUUUUUUUUUUUACAGAGCUCUAUAUAAUAAAC